UUUUUGACUAUUUAUCAGUUCGCGCAGGCAGUGCGCAAGCAAGGAUUUUCGGGAAAGGACUCAGAAAUAGCGACUAUGUUUGUCGACCUCGAUGCCAAUAUGGACUGCGAGGUGACACUCGAGGAAUACAUGAACGAAAUGGCAAAGAAGGACGCCAAAUCAAGAACGGAGGCUGAAAUGUUGGACAUCUUCAGAAAAUUUGACAGAAACAAAGAUGGCUACGUCACGCGGGAAGAGUUGCAGACGACACUUGAAGAAUGCAAAAUGAGGCUUCUUGAAAUCGACAUGGACGAUGUUAUGAAGAAGGCGGACAGAGAUGGCGACGGCAAACUAUCCUUUGACGACUUCAUCAAAUCCUGCCGCUUCAAAAAUCAAUGAAAAUUGUUCCGAAUUUCCUAUGUAAUCAUGAGCUAACUUGAAGAACUGCCGUUCCUCUCAUUACUCAAUAUUCGUCAAUAUUUCCAUGGUCAGCUUCCUAUAUAGCGGAAGAUUGAGUGAAUAUGUGCGUUUUUUGGCACACGCUACGCAAUUCUGUACCAGUCGUUUAUGUUUUUUUUUUUAUUUAAGCUCAGGACGCUCAGAGAUAGACAAAUCUGUUGAUGCAAUAUGGGAUAUUCGAAUUUUGCAUUUUAAAAGUUGUAAAGAAGAGUUUUUAUGCUUGCCAAAUGCUGUAUCAAUUUCUUUGUUACUUGAAUAUAUUAUACGUGUAUUAUCAUUAAAUUUUUAUUA
rnacentral:misc_RNA from 1 species